CAGCUUCUUUGAUUGAUAUGUCCACAUUCUUCUUUCUUCAAGUGUACCCAAUGCUAGGGAGCAGAAGUUGUGUCUUGAAUCUACCCAGCAGAAUUUAUGCUUUCCAACAGAAUCUUAAGGCAGGCCUGCAUACAGUUAACAUCUCUGCUGCAAAUCUUCCCAUGCCGAAUGGAUAAACAAUCAGUGAAGAAAAGAAAAGGCCUAAAAACCCUGCUGGAAACCCAGCUGGCAGGUAUUGAACUAUCAUGAUGGUGCAACAUGUUUUCCCAUUCUUCUUGCAGCUUCAGAGCUACCUUUUUUGUCACAUUAUAGCACCGCCAGACUCUCUGGACAUAUAUAGCAGCAGCAGUAGCUCGUCUA
rnacentral:misc_RNA from 1 species